GGAUGUCAGACCUUGAUAUUCUACAGAUAUCUUUAAUGCUUUCCCUUACUGAUGCUAAAGGGAGCAACUUGAUAUUUCAAUCCUUGUUUUUGUGUGCCAGUAAAUAAGAUGUCUCUCAUAUUUUUCUUUUCAGACUUAUAAACAAGCUACAGCCAGGCUCAGUGAAGAAGGUCAACGAGUCCUCACUGAACUGGCCUCAGUUGGAGAAUAUUGGCAACUUUAUUAAAGCUAUUCAGGCUUAUGGUAUGAAGCCACAUGACAUAUUCGAAGCAAAUGAUCUUUUUGAGAAUGGAAACAUGACCCAGGUUCAGACUACUCUGGUGGCUCUAGCAGGUCUGGCUAAAACAAAAGGAUUCCAUACAACCAUUGACAUUGGAGUUAAGUAUGCAGAAAAACAAACAAGACGUUUUGAUGAAGGAAAAUUAAAAGCUGGCCAAAGUGUAAUUGGUCUGCAGAUGGGAACCAACAAAUGUGCCAGCCAGGCAGGUAUGACAGCUUACGGGACUAGGAGGCAUCUUUAUGAUCCCAAAAUGCAAACUGACAAACCUUUUGACCAGACCACAAUUAGUCUGCAGAUGGGCACUAAUAAAGGAGCCAGCCAGGCAGGGAUGUUAGCACCAGGUACCAGAAGAGACAUCUAUGAUCAGAAGCUAACAUUACAGCCGGUGGACAACUCAACAAUUUCCCUACAGAUGGGUACCAACAAAGUUGCUUCCCAGAAAGGAAUGAGUGUGUAUGG
rnacentral:sRNA from 1 species